GACGAACGCUGGCGGCGUGCUUAACACAUGCAAGUCGAACGGAGUGGCGAACGGGUGAGUAACACGUGGGUGAUCUGCGUUGCACUUCGGGAUAAGCUUGGGAAACUGGGUCUAAUACCGGAUAGUGCAAGAGGAGGUCGCGGACUAUCAGCUUGUUGGUGGGGUGAUGGCCUACCAAGGGGUCGACUGGUAGCCGGCCUGAGAGGGUGUACGGCCACAUUGGGCCUGAGUGACGGCCCAGACUCCUACGGGAGGCAGCAGUGGGGAAUAUUGCGCAAUGGGCGGGAGCCUGAUGCAGCGGCGCCGCGUUGGUGAUGAAGGCCUUCGGGUUGUAAACUCCUUUCGACAGGGACGCGGUACCUGUAUAAGAAGCACCGGCUAACUACGUGCCAGCAGCCGCGGUAAUAC
rnacentral:rRNA from 1 species